GAUUGCUCCUCUUGGAGUCUUCUCAGCAAGCCCAGGACAAAGGAAUAGGUUCUACACAAGGCCAACACGUGCAAAGAUGCCAUCCUGGCCUAGCAGCACUCACCACUGUUGCUGCGUUUCCUGCUUAUGUCAAGGCUGCUAUCGGCUUCCUCAGGAACUUCUGCCAGAUCUGCUGUCUGCAGGGACAGAGAGAGCAAAUGAGAUGGGAAAAGCCAGGGAAAGCGAGCAACAAGCUUUGUAUCUUUGAAGUGGUCCUUUCCUGAGAUGGCAGAAGGACAUCCAGUCACUGAAAGGAGCUGGAAGGCAGCUGAGGGCAAAUACCAUGGCUGGAAGUCUGCCGCUGCUGUUGCAGAGCACUGCCAAAGGGAGACUGAACGGAAAAGCAAUCAGA